CAACCUCUAGGAGGUUCCUUAGGUUGGUCUUAGAGUUUGGGCCUUAUCCUCUGACCACAGUAAAAUCAUUAAAUAUGUUUUGACAGGAAUGUGUCAUAAUGAUCACAUUGUUUUUGGAUAUGUAAUCUGGAAGCUUUCCCAGGAUUAGUUGAAAGACUGGAAGCAAGAAAAGCAAAAGACUUUGGGAAGAACCUAGACUCUAGGAAGUAAAGACAUACGUACUCUGGAGUGAUGAUAGUGAAAAGAAUGGAAAUGGCCUGAGAGACAUCACAAAAGGAGAAGUGAGGGGACUGGAUUACUGAUAAGACCAAAGAAGAGUAAAGAGAUAAUGAACCCAAGUACUUACUCCAUUACAGUAAGGAACAGGAAUUGAGCCAGGCAGCCUCUAAUAGCCUUCCUAGUUCUAAAGUUCCUUUAUUUUCUAUUGUUCUACUAUCUGAAGAUGAAAGGAAAAAAUAUUUCAAAUGAGAGAAGCAGUUACAAGAAGAAAAUAAUGAAUUUGAUUUUAGGUCUAAAAUCUAAAACCUUGAUAAAUUAUCUAGUUCAGUCUCCUCUCUUGAAGGAGUUGUCAUCAUCCUCUCCAUCGGAGGUCCUAGAGAUUCAGCAGUUGAUCUAAGAACACCCAGCUAGUUGGUGCAAGGGAUUGGGAAUGUAAGUGCUCACUGUCCUGUAAACUAACUGCUCCUGAAGGUAUCAACACAUGUAAGUAGAGAUUGCUGAUAGACACCUAGAGAGAAAACAGAAGCUCAAGAGAGAAAAAGAAAAGAGUAGGGGCCCCUGGGUGGCUCAGUCGGUUAAGCAUCCGACUUUGGCUCAGGUCAUGAUCUCGCGGUCCGUGGGUUCGAGCCCCGUGUUGGGCUCUGUGCUGACAGCUCGGAGCCUGGAGCCUGUUUCGGAUUCUGUGUCUCCCUCUCUCUCUGACCCUCCCCCGUCCAUGCUGUCUCUCCCUGUCUCAAAAAUAAUAAAUAAACAUUAAAAAAAAAAAAAAGAAUAGAGUUAAACAUGUAGUUUGGAGAUACCUGUAUGGAGUAGAUGAGUUUUCUGAGAAGAGCAGCUUGUACAGGGAAAUUCUAGGAAUAGAAUGUGUACAGAGAUGAAAGACUUCAUUAAAAAAUCAUUCUUAGAUAAUUACUGAAUGCCAGAAGAAAACCAUUCAAUUUCACUUUCAUAUCUGCUAAUCAGUCUGUAAGAUGCUGACCUACAUAUACUAUUAACUGAAAGAAGGGCAGAAAAGCUAAAAGUUAUUCAAACUAAUGGAGGGAAGCUGUAAAUUAAUCUCAAUUCUUACUUACGAAUAAACAGGACCUGUUCCUUCACACACACUGAUAUGGUAGGAAAAGAUACAAUUCAGUAGGGAGAGAGGGAAAGGAUAGGACCUGAGGUCCCUGGGUGGAGAAAACAUAUUGGAACAAUGCUGGGAGGAUCUGACCACAGCAAAGCCCCUCAGGUGUAAGGUUCUUCUUAAGAAUGUAACAGACAUUACCUCCUCCCUCUCAGGUUUCCCUCAGUAAUUUGACAAAGAGAUCUGACUAAAAAAAGUAGACCAUAAAAUGGAUGAUCCACAAGGAAAGGUGUGGCCAUAGACCACCCCUCAUACACUAGAAAUGAGCCAAUCAGGAAACAACCAGCACCUAGAGCUAUCGAGCCCAUAAGGGUAGAACCUUAGGAGGAACAAAAGGGUGGGUAAAAGGGGGCAGGGGGUGACCAGUACCUUAUAAAACAAGGACCCUUGCCUGUAGUCACAGGCAUUCACCUUCAAAUGUCCCGUCUGUAAAAAGAGCUUUCAUACUAUCCUUACUUUCUAAUCUUGUACUUUAAUAAACUUUGCCUGCUGCUCAUUUGGUGUCCACCUCUUCAUUCUUCGAAGCAGCAAGACAACAAACCCUAGGUAUUGAAGAGGAAGAUACUGGUGGCCAUCUUGGGACAAUGAGAGGAGCUAGUCUUAGAAUGAUGCGGACACCAAGGAAGGCACAGCAGAGAAAAGGAAACAAAAGGUCCUUGAUGACAUACUGAGUUAUAGAAUCAAGCUUCACUUGAAGCCAUGAUUGCCUGAAGCCUGUGGACUUCUCAUUCAUGAAAUGAAAUGGCAUUGUCCUGAUCACCUUGAGGAUGCGAGGAGGGGUGAAAAGAUGCAGAUCCAUGGCAGUGACAGUGAGACGAGUAUGGUCUAGGAGAACGUGAAACUUUGACAUUAAUGUCCUCCCUGUGAGCUUUCCCCAAAGAUAUCCUUCAGCUAUGGAGCUAAUCAGAAGGCCCAUCGGCAUUUCCAUGUGUAGUUUACACACCACACUGUGAUUUCUUGGCCGGUCCUUGGCACAAAGGGAACUGAGCAAGACAUCACGACGUAGACAAGCUGCAACGUGAACGCCACAGAGGUGGGAAGGUCAUGGCCCACAAAGGCAGAGAUUCGGUGAAGGCCUCUGAGGUUUCACCUCAUCUCCACAGUUCUUAGUCACACAAUUUCCUUUAUGGAUCUGAACAGUAACAAACGGGCCUUAGAAAACGAAUCAGUGUGCCAGGUGGAAAAUGCCAAAAGUCAUCUUGUCUCUCCAAAGGGUUAAGCUGCUUUUCCGUUUUGUUUUUCUACCCUUUCUUUAUUCUUCAAGCCCUCUUUGCUGAAUAAUUUAAAAUUCACGGUUACAAGGGCUUCCUUUGUGCCCACAUUCCCCUGCUGAGAUCAGAUGCAGCUGACCCCACCCCAGUCAAGGCCAACUGGAUGAGGGCAGGACCCCGGCCCAAGUCUUCCUGCUGGAGAGCACGCUGUGAGAUGGCCGGGUGUGAAAAAGCCUGCUCUGCUCGAACAAGGCAGUCUGUUUCCUCCUCGUCUCAGAAGUAUGAACUGGGAAUCGUGGGGACAGGUAGGCAGUCAGUCAUACCAGAGAAAUGAGAGGAGACAGGAAUAGCCAGUUAACUGGUGGACAUAAGAGAGGAGAUGAUCCGUCUCCUGGGACUGAGGGCACAUCGUGAUUUUUCAGGUACCUAAACUGUACUGUAGUCUUUAAUAACUCUAACAGUAGCAAAGCUAACAGUAACAAUAAUAGCUAGCAUUUAUUGUGCCCUUACCAUGUGCUAAGGAUCAUUUUAGGAAUUUUACAACUAUUCAUUCAUUCAAUUUUCACAAUGACUCUUGAUGAUGAUGAUGAUGACGACGCUGAUGAUGGCACUGAAGCACAGAGAAGCUAAGUAACUUGAUCAAGGCUACACAGCUCAUAAGUGGCCCAGACACAAUUUGAACUCCAAUGGCAGGGUUCCAGAGCCCAUCCAGCAUGUGCCUCCCUGUGGGGUAGUCCUGAGUAUCCUGUGUUAUUGCCCAUCCUUACAAUAAAGCUCCCCUAUUAAGGAGGCCUGACAGGGGGUCUAUUGCUUGCUCCCUAUUGCCUCACAACUAGCAUUUUUCUUGGUUCCGCUCAUUAUGAAUCUUAGUAACGUAAGCAUACAUUUAUUAAUUCAAGAACUAUUUAAUGCUUACUGUGUGCCAGGAACUACUACUGAGCUCUGGAAGCUGACGAAGACUCCACCCCGUUCCAGCUCUCAGGAACCUCUACUAAGUAGGGAAAGACUCGGUCUGCACACACCGCCACGCCAGAAAGAGCUUCCAGUAAUUAUACUGUAUAGUCAUACUUCUACGACCUUCUGCAGAAUCUACGGGACAUACUGUCUUUGUAAACACACCGUGUCCUAUUUUUGCAUAAUGAUAUAUUGUAUCCCGAGCUCAUCGUUAAAAUAAUGCCUCAAAAGAACAUCUUAAAUAUCACCAAAAUAGAAACAGACACGGCAAAGAUGGCUUCUUGGAAGGUCUUCCCAGGAUUCUGUGUCAGUCAGGCCAAGGGAUGGCAACACGCAUGCGCACACUGGCUGACCUAUAGGCGGCGCUGCAGUGUCCCCCAGUGCCUGAAGGUGCCUGAGAAAUACGAACCAUGGCCUCCUCCUCCGUCUGAUCAUAUUUCACUGCUGGCAACUUGUUCACGGCAUCAAUCCCCAUUGCCGCCAAGUGGGUAUUUAUUUAUGUCUACGGUACUUGCAAGACGGUGCUCUCAGACACCAGGUGUCACUCUUCUCAUCUUUCCAAACUGACAGCACCAGCACACUGCUUUGCACCUGACAGGUCUUUAACCCGUUUUAAACGACCGUUUUGUAACAGUAUUACACCAGCACCAGUCUAUUGUGGGAAAUGCUGAACUCAAAUUUAAAGGAGAGAAAUUACAUAUAAUCCUACUAGAAGUACACGUUAACUUUUUGGAAUAUUUCCUUCUGGUCUUGAUACAUAUAAAAUGUUUCAAAAUGAAGAUGAUAAAUACGCAGUUUUGAAUCCAGGUUCUGUUAGCCUUUCCUACCGCUAAAUACUCUUUGAAAACAUGAUUUUUUAAUGACUGCAUGGAAUUUCGACACCAAUUUAUUGAACGUUCUCCUGUGGCUGGUCAUUUACUUUAUUUCUUACUUUGCUUUUAUAAAUGUGCUAAUAUCAACAUCCUUAUACGCAAAUUCUUGUGUUCAGUUAGGUUUAUGCAAUAGAAAAAGAAGUAUUGGAUCAAAGAGUUUGAACAAUUUAAACUCUCUUGAUACGCAGUGCAAAUGGUCCACGGGGAAGGCUUAUACUCCCUCUGGCCUCGUGAAAGAAUGAAUGCCCCAUUCACCAUACGCUCGCCAACACUGAAUAUUACAGUUUUAGAAAAUCUUUAUCUUAAUUUGGUUUCUUCAGUGGGUCGUAACAGAGCCUACAUUUAAACUCUACGUUCCUAAGAAAAGUGCAGAUGGGUCACUUACAAACAGGAGCAAAAGAGCCUAUGAGCAACAGUCCCCACCUCAAGCCCUUGAAGCCAUGAAAUACUUUAGAAUUUUAGAAAUGGCAAGUACUUUAGAGGUCACUGAGCAAACUGUUUCAGUUUAUAAAUAAAGUAACCAAAGCUCAGAGAGAUGAAGUGACCUGGGAAACAUAUUUGAGUUCGAACUAGAAUCUAGUUGUCUGGACCCGUGGUCUUGACCCAUAAGCCAUUUCUUUAGAAUGGGCUGAUAACCUAUGGAAGCAACAAACCAUUGUUAUCAGAGUGAAAAAAUAAAGGGAAAAAUAGUAUGAGAAUAUAUUUGAAAACGAAACCGUUAUUGUUCUAAGUUGUUUUAUCUUCAUGACACCAAGUGAGAAUAAGCUGUUUUAUAGACAAAGGCAAAAACUCACAUGUGAGUAUUACUCUAUUCUUAAGAUCCCUGCUUACAUCUAGAACAGAUAUAUUUUUUUACUGGAACCAUUAAAAUAUUCAGCAUUGAUUUACCAUCCUCUCAUCGAGCCAACAUUUACUAAGAAUGUACUGUGGCCAGGCACGUUGCCAGGUACUGGAGCAGCAGGGGGGAAAGAACCAAGCUAAUGCUGCCACCCUGGUCCAAGGCACCAUCAUCUCUCAUGGGAAGAUUGCAACAGCCUCCUAAGUGGAAGGUUAUUAAAUGCUCUGGGGAUGAGGAAAAAAAGCUCAGAGACCGGGCUGGAGAAGGAAGCAAGCUGUCCAAUACAGGUAAACACUCUGGAGAACACCGUGGGCUAGAACGACAAGAGGAACCAAGAAGCUCCCAACUCAACCUCUCUUCAUUACUCUCCCCACCUCUAUCAACACGUUAACGCAGCCACGGAAGAAAUCUAGUAGGUUUUCAAAAACAUCCAGAAAAAGACUCAGCACCCUCUCUGGCCAACCUGUUCUAGUGCUUGAUAACAAUCCAAGAAUGCAGUAACUUCCUCCCUCUAACUCAGAUUCGAGACACUCUCCUUUUUCGUACAGGUCUGAAAGUAUCGGGCCCUUGCGGAAGAGCCUUUUAUUGACCUGAUGCUCUUCAUUCAACUGUCCCUCACCGGCCAGAGGAUGAAUAACCUUGGACCACUGAGCUGUUUCUAGGCUCUAAUUUCCAGUGCUUUAACCGUCCCUCUGGCUCGGCUCUAGACUCUUCAAGUCCUCCUUCGUACAAGUAGCACGGCUUAUGAAGACACACAGCUCUAGUGAUGGUCCCCACCACAUGGCUUCUUCGGGCGCUGUGCGGUGGGAGCCUGGGGCCAUGCGCGUGCAGGCAGGGGACUUCCUCACCUCACAUUCAGGCUGUCCCCAACCCCCUCUUCUCUACCCUUGCUUUAAGUUAAUAGAAGAAAGGAAGGAAGGAAAAAAAAAGGGAAGGAAGAAAAGAAGAGGGCAGAAAAAAUACAAAAGGGAACUAAGAUGUAUAAAAAUAUGAGAAAUGCAUUGUAACAGGAAAUACAAGCCAAAAGAUUCAUUUUACCAGAUGAAAAGUACAUAAUAACAACAUUUUUGCAUUCA